rnacentral:tRNA from 1 species
AGAGUAGUAAUUUAAUAAAAAUAUUUAUUUUGCAUAUAAAAAUUAUAAUUUACAUUAUCUACUUU